GACGAACGCUGGCGGCGUGCCUAAUACAUGCAAGUAGAACGCUGAAGGAGGAGCUUGCUUCUCCGGAUGAGUUGCGAACGGGUGAGUAACGCGUAGGUAACCUGCCUGGUAGCGGGGGAUAACUAUUGGAAACGAUAGCUAAUACCGCAUAAGAGUAGAUGUUGCAUGACAUUUGCUUAAAAGGUGCAAUUGCAUCACUACCAGAUGGACCUGCGUUGUAUUAGCUAGUUGGUGGGGUAACGGCUCACCAAGGCGACGAUACAUAGCCGACCUGAGAGGGUGAUCGGCCACACUGGGACUGAGACACGGCCCAGACUCCUACGGGAGGCAGCAGUAGGGAAUCUUCGGCAAUGGACGGAAGUCUGACCGAGCAACGCCGCGUGAGUGAAGAAGGUUUUCGGAUCGUAAAGCUCUGUUGUAAGAGAAGAACGAGUGUGAGAGUGGAAAGUUCACACUGUGACGUAUCUACCA
rnacentral:rRNA from 1 species